rnacentral:rRNA from 1 species
AUGCACGCUGGCGGCGUGCCUCAUCCAUGCAAGUCGCGCGCACAGACGAGGAGCUUGCUCCUCUGACGUUAGCGGCGGACGGGUGAGUAACACGUGGAUAACCUACCUAUAAGACUGGGAUAACUUCGGGAAACCGGAGCUAAUACCGGAUAAUAUAUUGAACCGCAUGGUUCAAUAGUGAAAGACGGUUUUGCUGUCACUUAUAGAUGGAUCCGCGCCGCAUUAGCUAGUUGGUAAGGUAACGGCUUACCAAGGCAACGAUGCGUAGCCGACCUGAGAGGGUGAUCGGCCACACUGGAACUGAGACACGGUCCAGACUCCUACGGGAGGCAGCAGUAGGGAAUCUUCCGCAAUGGGCGAAAGCUUGACGGAGCAACGCCGCGUGAGUGAUGAAGGUCUUCGGAUCGUAAAACUCUGUUAUUAGGGAAGAACAAAUGUGUAAGUAACUAUGCACGUCUUGACGGUACCUAAUCAGAAAGCCACGGCUAACUACGUG